AUACGGAGGAUGCGAGCGUUAUCCGGAUUUAUUGGGUUUAAAGGGUGCGUAGGCGGCCUUGUAAGUCAGCGGUGAAAUUUUGCAGCUUAACUGUAAAAGUGCCGUUGAUACUGUGAGGCUAGGAUUUGGUUGCUGUGGGUGGAAUGUGUGGUGUAGCGGUGAAAUGCUUAGAGAUCACACAGAAUAUCGAUUGCGAAGGCAGCUCACAAAGCCAAGAUUGACGCUGAGGCACGAAAGGGUGGGGAUCAAACAGGAUUAGAUGCCCUGGUAGUCCACGCCGUAAACGAUGGGCGCUCGUCGUCGGCGGCAGACAGUCGGCGGCCAAGCGAAAGCGAUAAGCGCCCCACCUGGGGGGUACGGUCGCAAGGCUGAAACUCAAAUGAAUUGACGGGG
rnacentral:rRNA from 1 species